GACGAACGCUGGCGGCGUGCCUAAUACAUGCAAGUCGAACGCUGAAGGAGGAGCUUGCUCUUCUGGAUGAGUUGCGAACGGGUGAGUAACGCGUAGGUAACCUGCCUGGUAGCGGGGGAUAACUAUUGGAAACGAUGGCUAAUACCGCAUAACAGUAGAUGUUGCAUGACAUUUGCUUAAAAGGUGCAAUUGCACCACUACUAGAUGGACCUGCGUUGCAUUAGUUAGUUGGUGGGGUAACGGCUCACCAAGGCGACGAUACAUAGCCGAACUGAACGGGGGGACGGCCAAGCUGGGACGGGAACACGGCCCAGGAUCCUAGGGGAGGGAGCCGGAGGGAAUCUUCAGCAAAGGACGGAAGGCUGAACGAGGCACGCCGCGGGAAUGAAGGAGGUUGUCGGGUCGUAAAAAUCUGUUGUAAGAGAAGAACGAGUGGGAGAGUGGAAAGUUCACACUGUGACGGUAUCUUACCAGAAAGCGACGGCUAACUACGUG
rnacentral:rRNA from 1 species